UUAAAUUGAAGAGUUUGAUCAUGGCUCAGAUUGAACGCUGGCGGCAGGCCUAACACAUGCAAGUCGAACGGUAACAGAAAGCAGCUUGCUGCUUUGCUGACGAGUGGCGGACGGGUGAGUAAUGUCUGGGAAACUGCCUGAUGGAGGGGGAUAACUACUGGAAACGGUAGCUAAUACCGCAUAACGUCGCAAGACCAAAGAGGGGGACCUUCGGGCCUCUUGCCAUCGGAUGUGCCCAGAUGGGAUUAGCUUGUUGGUGGGGUAACGGCUCACCAAGGCGACGAUCCCUAGCUGGUCUGAGAGGAUGACCAGCCACACUGGAACUGAGACACGGUCCAGA
rnacentral:rRNA from 1 species